AUUGAACGCUGGCGGCAUGCCUUACACAUGCGAGUCGAACGGUAACAGGUCUUCGGAUGCUGACGAGUGGCGAACGGGUGAGUAAUACAUCGGAACGUGCCUAGUAGUGGGGGAUAACUACUCGAAAGAGUGGCUAAUACCGCAUGAGAUCUACGGAUGAAAGCAGGGGAUCGCAAGACCUUGUGCUACUAGAGCGGCCGAUGGCAGGUUAGGUAGUUGGUGGGAUAAAAGCUUACCAAGCCGACGAUCUGUAGCUGGUCUGAGAGGACGAUCAGCCACACUGGGACUGAGACACGGCCCAGACUCCUACGGGAGGCAGCAGUGGGGAAUUUUGGACAAUGGGCGCAAGCCUGAUUCAGCAAUGCCGCGUGCAGGAUGAAGGCCUUCGGGUUGUAAACUGCUUUUGUACGGAACGAAAAGCCCUGGGUUAAUACCCUGGGGUCAUGACGGUACCGUAAGAAUAAGCACCGGCUAACUACGUGCCAGCCGCCGCCGUAA
rnacentral:rRNA from 1 species